UACAGAGGGUGCAAGCGUUGUUCGGAAUUAUUGGGCGUAAAGCGCGUGUAGGCGGCUUUGCCAGUCGGGUGUGAAAGCCCUCAGCUCAACUGAGGAAGUGCGCCCGAAACUGCAUGGCUUGAGUACCGGAGAGGAUGGUGGAAUUCCCCAAGUAGAGGUGAAAUUCGUAGAUAUGGGGAGGAACACCGGUGGCGAAGGCGACCAUCUGGACGGAUACUGACGCUGAGACGCGAAAGCGUGGGUAGCAAACAGG
rnacentral:rRNA from 1 species